rnacentral:lncRNA from 1 species
GGUUCUUUUCUUCUAUUACUUAAUCAUAUGUUGUUUACAAAUCACUCUAAAGAAGUAAACGGAAAGGAGCGAAUGCAGCUACAUUUGGUUAUUUUAAGUUUCAAAUCAUUUUAUUCCGUUUAGCUCCUUUCUAAAUAAGUGCAGAGGAGAACUACAUUUGUCUAUGGUGGCCGGUGAAGCCCAUUUCGCGUUUUCGCGAUUUCGCCUUUCAUAUUCUAUAGGGCGAAAACGCGAAAUCGCGAAAAGGCGAAAUCGCGAAGUCGAAAACGAGAAAUCAGUUUCGCGUUUUCGCGUUUUCGACUUCGCAAUAUCGCGUUUUCGGCCUAUAGAAUAUGUAAGGCGAAAACG